GCUUGCUGUGUGUAUACAGGCCCGGACACCACCAGUAUGGAAGACUUACCUGCCCAGUGCCCACUGCUCAUGCUGCCCUUUUAAAAGGAUGAGAAUGCGCUGACAUAGUGAGGAGACGUCUGGGCGACACAUUCUACAGACAGAAGUUUUAGCUGGACCAGGCGAACAUUUAGAAUUCGGUCUUUGGAAUGCGGAGUCUUUUCUUGUGAAGAUUAUUAUUGUUUUGUUGGAGUUACAUUCAGAAAUAAUCAGCAAACUUUUUAAACAAUUAAAGUAUUUACUUUAUAAAACUUUGCAUGAAAACUGUUGCCAGUCUUUUUUUUUUUAAAUAGAAAAAAUAACCUAUUUAAAGACAUUUUUUUGGUGGAGUUUU